GCCGCCAUAGCUUAGCUGGUGGAGCGUACGGCUGUUAACCGUAAGGUCAGUGGUUCGAAUCCGCUUGGCGGCG
rnacentral:tRNA from 1 species